ACGAACGCUGGCGGCGUGGAUAAGACAUGCAAGUUGAGCGAUGAACGGACAAUAGCAAUAUUUGAAGGGAUUAGCAGCGAACGGGUGAGUAACACGUGGGAAUCUGCCCUAGGGACUGGGAUAGCCUGACGAAAGUCAGGGUAAUACCGGAUAAGAUCUUCGGAUUAAAGGCGCAAGCCGCUCUAGGAUGAGCUCGCGUUCCAUCAGCUAGUUGGUAGGGUAAAAGCCUACCAAGGCGACGACGGAUAGCUGGUCUGAGAGGACGGUCAGCCACAAUGGAACUGAGACACGGUCCAUACACCUACGGGUGGCAGCAGUCGAGAAUCAUUCACAAUGGGCGAAAGCCUGAUGGUGCGACGCCGCGUGGGGGAUGAAGGCCUUAGGGUCGUAAACCCCUGUCGGUUGUGAGUAAAGCCCGGUUCGAAUCGGGUCUGAUAUUAGCAACAAAGGAAGGGGCGGCUAACUCCGUGCCAGCAGCCGCGGUAAUACGGAGGCCCCAAGCGUUGUUCGGAUUUACUGGGCGUAAAGCGUGCGUAGGCGGCAAGAUAAGUUUGGCGUGAAAUCCCCGGGCCCAACCCGGAAAUUGCGCUGGAAACUAUCUAGCUAGAGGUGUGGAGGGGAGUAUGGAAUUUCCGGUGUAGCAGUGAAAUGCGUAGAUAUCGGGAGGAACACCAGUGGCGAAGGCGAUACUCUGGGACACAUUCUGACGCUGAGGUACGAAGGCUAGGGGAGCGAAGAGGAUUAGAUACCCUCGUAGUCCUAGCAGUAAACGGUGUGCACUUGCUGUGGGACGGUUCGACCCGUUCCGUGGCGGAGCUAACGCGUUAAGUGCACCGCCUGGGGAGUACGGCCGCAAGGUUAAAACUCAAAGAAAUUGACGGGGGCCUGCACAAGCGGUGGAGCAUGUGGCUUAAUUCGAUGCAACGCGAAGAACCUUACCUGGGCUUGACAUGUUUGUCAUAGUCCCGUGAAAGCGGGACGUCAGUUCGGCUGGACAAUCACAGGUGCUGCAUGGCUGUCGUCAGCUCGUGUCGUGAGAUGUUGGUUUAAGUACCGCAACGAGCGCAACCCCUAUGUCCUGUUGCCACGGAGAACACGUUUCUCCAGCACUCUGGACAGACUGCCUCAUUUAAUGAGGAGGAAGGUGGGGAUGACGUCAAGUCAGUAUGGCCCUUACGCCCAGGGCUGCACACGUGCUACAAUGCCUAGCACAAUGGGAAGCUAAAUCGCGAGAUGGAGCAAAUCCCCAAAACUAGGCUCAGUUCGGAUUGGAGUCUGCAACUCGACUCCAUGAAGUUGGAAUCGCUAGUAACGGCGCAUCAGCUACGGCGCCGUGAAUACGUUCCCAGGCCUUGUACACACCG
rnacentral:rRNA from 1 species